rnacentral:lncRNA from 1 species
UUUUGACAGAUGGUGCUAAGUGCCAAGGCUGAGAGUGGAGAUGUAUGAAUGAGAUUGGUUUGGAGCUGCAAUUGAUUUUUAUGACAGGGUUACAAGGCAAGGCUUGGUUUUGCAAGUGAGCAAAAAGUUUUGGUUUGAGAUAAUGCUGUGUGCAGGUUUUGUUAUGGCUAUUUCAUGACAGGUUUUCAAAUGCCAAAGGGGUGGUCUUUAGCACCAGGUGUUUUCUGCUGUGAAUGGUGGUAUGAUGCUGCUAGGCUUUUCAUGACAGGAGAUGCAGA